rnacentral:rRNA from 1 species
GACGAACGCUGGCGGCGUGCCUAAUACAUGCAAGUAGAACGCUCAAGAGAGGAGCUUACUCUUCUGGUAUGAGUUGCGAACGGGUGAGUAACGCGUAGGUAACCUGCCUUUUAGCGGGGGAUAACUAUUGGAAACGAUAGCUAAUACCGCAUAACAAUGGAUGACACAUGUCAUUUAUUUGAAAGAGGCCAUUGCUCCACUACAAGGUGGACCUGCGUUUUAUUAGCUAGUAGGUUAGGUAAUGGCUCAACUAGGCGACCGUACAUAGCCCACCUGAGAGGGGGAUCGGCCAAACCGGGAAUGAGACAACGCCCAAAAUCCUAAGGGAGGCAGCCGUAGGGAAUCCUCGGCAAUGGGGGCAACCCUGAACGAGCGACGCCGCGUGAAGGGAGAAGGUUCUCGGAUUGUAAAGCCUUGUUGACUGUGAAGAACGGGUGUGAGAGUGGACAGUUCACACUGUGACGGUAGCUAACCAGAAAGGCACGGCUAACUACGUG